AGCUUACAAUUGGAUCAACCUGUAUAAGAGUAAGAUUAAAAUAAACUCUUUAAGGUUAGUAAUAGGACACUUAGGGUCACCUUGUAAUUGUAAGAUUCAAACUGUCGACAAUUCGUAAAUAAGUAUUAUAGCAUAACUACUGUGCAAAAUGUAACAGAAGUGACAAAAGUGAAUACACGUUAUUGAUUCGUUUUUUCAUGUAACUAACAGAACAUGCACAUUAUAUAAAGACUGUCAUGCAUAAUAGGAUCCACAGAAUGACGGAAUUGUCAACGAAAGCUUUACCUUUGCAGCAUCGAAAAUCUUUUGGACAGCAGCAGAAAUUUCGGGUCCGAUACCAUCUCCAGGAAUAAGCGUGCAUUUGUGAACUUUACUGCUGUAAUAACGAGCAGAACCGAUUUUCGGAACCUGUUAAUUCAAACGUCGAUUCGAUUAAAAGUUAUUCGUGAAAAGUUACCAGAACGAGUAAAGAGGGUACGGAUAAUGAUGAUAUUAAAAAGGAAAAGGGUAGGGUUUCGCUCGGGACACUCGUCGUUUCACGGAUUUCCUGAUUGACGCCUGUUACUUACUGCAUUUCGUAUCCAUUGCGCAGCCAUUCUCUUUGUAAAAUUUACAAUAAAAACACAAACCACCACCACCUAAA